UACGGGGGGGGCAAGCGUUGUUCGGAAUUACUGGGCGUAAAGGGCUCGUAGGCGGCCAACUAAGUCGGACGUGAAAUCCCCAGGCUCAACCUGGGAACUGCGUCUGAUACUGGAUGGCUUGAAUCCGGGAGAGGGAUGCAGAAUUCCAGGUGUAGCGGUGAAAUGCGUAGAUAUCUGGAGGAAUACCGGUGGCGAAGGCGGUAUCCUGGACCGGCAUUGACGCUGAGGAGCGAAAGCCAGGGGAGCAAACGGG
rnacentral:rRNA from 1 species